GCAGCUCAGUGGUAGAGCAUCUGCUUUGUGUGCAGAAGGCCCUGGGUUCAAUCCCCAGCAUCUCCA